rnacentral:rRNA from 1 species
UGAUCCUGGCUCAGGAUGAACGCUAGCGGCAGGCUUAACACAUGCAAGUCGAGGGGUAUUAGUUUUCGGACUAAGAGACCGGCGCACGGGUGCGUAACGCGUAUGCAAUCUACCUUUUACAGAGGGAUAGCCCAGAGAAAUUUGGAUUAAUACCUCAUAGUAUAAUGACUCGGCAUCGAGAUAUUAUUAAAGUCACAACGGUAAAAGAUGAGCAUGCGUCCCAUUAGCUAGUUGGUAAGGUAACGGCUUACCAAGGCUACGAUGGGUAGGGGUCCUGAGAGGGAGAUCCCCCACACUGGUACUGAGACACGGACCAGACUCCUACGGGAGGCAGCAGUGAGGAAUAUUGGACAAUGGGCGCAAGCCUGAUCCAGCCAUGCCGCGUGCAGGAUGACGGUCCUAUGGAUUGUAAACUGCUUUUAUACGAGAAGAAACACUGCUUCGUGAAGCAGCUUGACGGUAUCGUAAGAAUAAGGAUCGGC